CACAGUCGUCUGAGUUGACAAGUCUGCUGGCAGAAGAGUAAUGUGCCUGCAUCUCGGGGUCGCGGAUGGCGGGGUUGGGUAGGACCCUGGAUCUUUUUGAAGCGGCUUUUGGGCAUGGGGCAUGUGGGCAUGAUUACAGGGAGGGGGCCUCUUUCCCCAGCCGUCACCAUUAAUCUCUGGGGCCAUGCAAAGCUCACGGGAGAUCGCCUCCCUCCUGCUUUGCUUUCGGCUGCCUAGCGGAUGUAAUAACGGGAAACAGAUACGGCGAACCGAUCCGAUUCAAGCUGCCUCAUUUUUCCAUUCUGUUCUCGCAGAUGCUGAAGGCUGGCAUCCCGGAUAAUGGAUCUUUAAGGUGCCUCCACACAUUGGACAGCAGAUAAAUAAAGAUGAACAAAUGCGGAGGAAGUAAUGAACAGGAUAUGGAAAACACUAGCCCCUAGACGUGCAUCUCGAUAUCAUUACUGCAAGAGGCUCAAAUUCUGUAUGAUAUUAGCAGGAAGCUGCAUGCUAAGGUUGUUCGAGCUGCGUGAUUAAUUGCCAGAUGGCCACAAAGUUAAAAGAUCGCCCGAGUAAAUAGUGUCAAAUGGGACUUCCAGAAAAAUAUACCAUGGCGAAAAUUCAGUCACGGAGGUGCAGAAAAUGUGUCUCCCAUUUGAAACAGCCGGCGCCAGCCAUGCCCACAUCUCACCUUGUAUGCCUCCCAAAAACAAGGUACCAUGGAAGAUGAUGAUGAUGAUGAUGAUGAUGAUGAUGAUUACAUCUGUGAUCAAGAAUGGUUCUGAUCUGUGCCAGGCCACCAUACCAUCCUGCCAUUCACACAGCUUCACCAACAGACGGCUUCUCCCAGAUUCCUGUGAACGUUUUCGCAGAAGGGCAAAGGUAAUGCAAUCCAGGUGCUGAUAAAAAAGAAUGAGGAAUUGUCAGUUAGUGCUAAAUUAUGAUUGCUCUCCCCAAUUCUGGCUUUCGUGCCAGCACUGAAGUGGAAAGCAGGAUCUACUUUCAGGAACGUUCUGGAAUUGCUUUCCUCUCCCAGCUGAUAAAACAGCCCCCAGAUUUUCAUGCCAAAAUGACUGUGUCACAUUGCUGACCUGGUGGCACCUGGUGGCAGUAUCCCCCUAUGAGGCUAUGUGGCAUCAACUUAUUGAAAAGCACCAAAUGACAAUUUAUGUAACUGCUUUUAUUGCUGAUUUUUAGUUACACAGAAGCAUGGUUUCUGUAUGAAUCUCAGGAAUUUUUCGUACUUGUCACAUGGAAUGUCACAUACUCAUAUGAACAAUAAUAGUAAUAUUUCUUUUUUGUUUCAUACAUCCAGGGUUGAGGGUUCGAAUCCCGCCUCCAUUCUGUGUGUACUGGAAUGUUCUGUCUGUGUUGUGUGGGUUUCUGGGGGGUUUUGUCUUGGGUUUUGUGUUCUUGCCCAUUUGCCCCUUUAGGCUCCUGCUUCAGGUUCUCCGGUCCUCUGCAGAUGAGUCAGCCUUCCUUCACCUCGUCCUGGCCAUCCAUCCAGUCAGCACCCAAGUCCCCCAGUUCCCUAUUUCCAACAGUGUUGGAGCUGUUGGUCUCGGGGGCAGAAGACUUGGCUUUCAGAUGGGCAGCCUGGGGUGAAGGUGAGGACACCAGUUGUAUAUAUUUCAUCUUAAUUACUUUAAAAUGUUAGACAUAAUGACCAGUCAUGGUAGGAAGGUAAGAAGCUAUUUCUCAUGUUAAAAGUCUUGGAUUCCACCAGCAGACAACUGCGGAGUCCUGAUAUUUUCCAGCACUAAGCACAAGGCCCGGGAGCACAGAGUAGCAGCUGAGGUGUGCAGAUUUCAUCGUGAUGUAGGACAUGCAGUUACUGCGAUGAGGCCGGCCGCUGACAGCUUAACCCACAUCUGAAUGGGCUUGCUCUAAACUUUCAUGCAAAUGGAGCUCACUAAUACCUGAGUAUUGAUAGUGCAUAUCAGCCAGCUACGUCAUAUUUAGUCUUAUAGCUCGAUUGUGUGUUCGUAUCCGAGGGGGGGGGGGUGCCCAUAAUUUGUUGGCUUGCCUGUUUUUUAAGCUCAUGCUAAUUGCAGCUGUGUGAAGCACUUUGUUGUCAUUUCUUCUUCCCUGUCAUCUGGUCUGUUGGUUAUAAGUUAUCGGACUAUCACCACCUUUUCAUCCUCUGUCUGCUGUAAUGGGACAAGCCCUGCAGCCUACUCAUUUACGGGAGGGCCGCUGGUUCCGGCGGACUCGUUCAGCACCCAGUGCUUAACUCAGCCAUGCCUGGGGUUCAGAGGAAGGCCAGGAGGAGCUGGGAGAUGCGGGGAAAAGCCCUCGGAGCGACGGAGCUGGAUUAAAGGCACCGAAUUAACAAGGCAAAUGAGGCCUCUGUUGUUUUCCUUUGGUCUCCGAGAUGCACGUUCUGUGGCUAAAAACAACCAGUCAUGCUACUGUCCCGAGCUGCAGCUGCCACUGAUCGGACAGUUAUAAACUCCGUGCUUCCGUUAAAAAGCCGAUAAUACAAAUAAAACUGACUAUGAUGAAUUUUACUCACUCGAAUCAGAAGCUGGCUCCAGUAAGAUGGAUAUUUUUACAUGAGUAAUUUUCCUUUUCAGAUUCUUAGUUUAGUUAUGUAAGAAGGAGUUACAUAACCGCUUUAAAUAAAUGUUCCC